UGGGGAAUUUUGGACAAUGGGGGAAACCCUGAUCCAGCCAUCCCGCGUGUGCGAUGAAGGCCUUCGGGUUGUAAAGCACUUUUGGCAGGAAAGAAACGUCAUGGGUUAAUACCCCGUGAAACUGACGGUACCUGCAGAAUAAGCACCGGCUAACUACGUGCCAGCAGCCGCGGUAAUACGUAGGGUGCAAGCGUUAAUCGGAAUUACUGGGCGUAAAGCGUGCGCAGGCGGUUCGGAAAGAAAGAUGUGAAAUCCCAGAGCUCAACUUUGGAACUGCAUUUUUAACUACCGGGCUAGAGUGUGUCAGAGGGAGGUGGAAUUCCGCGUGUAGCAGUGAAAUGCGUAGAUAUGCGGAGGAACACCGAUGGCGAAGGCGGCCUCCUGGGAUAACACUGACGCUCAUGCACGAAAGCGUGGGGAGCAAACAGG
rnacentral:rRNA from 1 species